UGUCAAAAACGGUUACACUUAGGUAGAGGACAUUAUACAUAAAAUAUACCUAGAAUUUUAUUUGGAAGCCAAAAAUGUAAAAAUAUACAGGGUGUUCCAUUUAAAAUAACGAAGCUGACAUCUACUUCCGGUAUAAUCGGAAACGUCACAACUGUCAAAAUAUUUUAGUUGUGUGGCCCCCAUCAACUAUGCCAUGUUGAAUAAAUUCUCAAAAUUUUUGAAUAAUUAGUUUCCGAAAUAUUGAUCACGCCUAUUCGUCGUGAGACACCCUGUAUAAUGGGUAGAUUUUCACAUAUAAUUUUAUUUCAGAUUUCCUUCAGAUCCAGAAAGAAAAAAGUUGUGGAUUCAAGCUAUGAAAUUUAAAGAUUGGGAGCCAUCACCAAAUGAUAGAGUUUGUUCUAGACAUUUUGAGGAACAUUUUUUUUAUUCAACAGAUUGCAGAAGGCGUUUUCUCAAUGGAGCAGUCCUUUCUAUAUUUCCUGAAUAUCCUAAAUAUAUGCAGUCAAAACAGAGUGUCAAAAGAAAAGCGUUACAGCGAGAUUUGGAUUCUGAACCAGGUGCUUCAACUUCGACUGCUAGCCAAAAAAUGAAGCCGGAAUCACCCAGAAGAAAACGUUUAAAGAGGCAACUUUUGGCAAAAAGAAAAAAAAUGACGGCAAAAAGAAAAAAAUAAAGAGCAAACAAGAAGACUUAAAGUUCUCCGGCAAAAGAACUGAAAAAUCGCUAGUUUUGGUAAUAACUAGAUACUAGUUUUACGAGAAGUGAAAGUGAAAGAUAUGGAAUGAAUAGAGUUCUGAGGGAGACACAUGCCCGAGUACCCCUCCCCCUGGAAACGUCCCUGUGUAAAUGAAUAUUUUUACAUUUUUUUAAUGGUAUUGUAUGUUCCAUACAUAUUUCAUAUAGAUAUUACAGGUACAUGCAGUAUG